rnacentral:rRNA from 1 species
GGUGGGGAUGACGUCAAGUCCUCACUGGCCCUUAUAGGUGGGGCUACACACGUCAUACAAUGGUCGGUACAGAGGGUUGCCAACCCGCGAGGGGGAGCUAAUCCCACAAAGCCGAUCGUAAGUCCGGAUCGCAGUCUGCAACUCGACUGCGUGAAGUCGGAAUCGCUAGUAAUCGUGGAUCAGCAUGUCACGGUGAAUACGUUCCCGGGUCUU